AUGAACGCUGGCGGCGUGCCUAAUACAUGCAAGUCGAGCGAACAGACGAGGAGCUUGCUCCUUCGACGUUAGCGGCGGACGGGUGAGUAACACGUAGGUAACCUACCUAUAAGACUGGGAUAACUUCAGGAAACCGGAGCUAAUACCGGAUAAUAUUUCGAACCGCAUGGUUCGAUAGUGAAAGAUGGCUUUGCUAUCACUUAUAGAUGGACCUGCGCCGUAUUAGCUAGUUGGUAAGGUAACGGCUUACCAAGGCAACGAUACGUAGCCGACCUGAGAGGGUGAUCGGCCACACUGGAACUGAGACACGGUCCAGACUCCUACGGGAGGCAGCAGUAGGGAAUCUUCCGCAAUGGGCGAAAGCCUGACGGAGCAACGCCGCGUGAGUGAUGAAGGUCUUCGGAUCGUAAAACUCUGUUAUUAGGGAAGAACAAACGUGUAAGUAACUGUGCACGUCUUGACGGUACCUAAUCAGAAAGCCACGGCUAACUACGUG
rnacentral:rRNA from 1 species